rnacentral:rRNA from 1 species
AACGAACGCUGGCGGCAUGCCUAACACAUGCAAGUCGAACGAAACGUUCCGGCUUUGUUGCGCAGGUCUACUUACGACGUGGUGACUUACCCUUAGGUACCCAAUACCUCCCUGUGAGGUGUGCUCAUACCAGUGAGUCUCUUCCCGGCUAGGAUGUAUCGCCAUGGGAUGGGCGCUGGUUGGUUUCGCCGGUUGGUAGGGUAAAAGCCUACCAAGGCGACGAUGCAUAGCUGGUCUGAGAGGAUGAUUAGCCACAAUGGCAAUGAGACACGGCCCAGCCUCGUACGGGAGGGAGCAGUGGGGAAUAUUAGAGAAGGGGCGAAAGCCUGAUACAGCAAUGCCGCGUGAGAGAUGAAGGCGGUAGGGUUGUGAAGCUCUUUUAGCCGGGAUGAUAAUGACAGUACCGGGAGAAUAAGCACCGGCUAACUCCGUG